UUUAUCCUCUACAGAGAUCCAAAAGCAUUUAGUCAACUCAAAAAUGCCCAGAAGCCCAUAAAAAGGCCUCCAGCAUCCUGAGGGAAGUCAAACUGGAAGUCUUGUCCUGUAGCCUGGACAUGCCUUUGGUCCAGCAGGAAAGCUCAGCUGAUCCCUCUGCCUUCUCAUCUCCUCACCUGCCAAGUGGGGUCAGAGCCCAGUGAGGCUGCAGAGCUGCUUGCUCAGCACAGGGUGGACCAGAGCAGGCUCCA